rnacentral:rRNA from 1 species
CCUACGGGAGGCUGCAGUAGGGAAUAUUGCUCAAUGGGGGAAACCCUGAAGCAGCAACGCCGCGUGGAGGAUGAAGGUUUUCGGAUUGUAAACUCCUUUUGUUAGAGAAGAUAAUGACGGUAUCUAACGAAUAAGCACCGGCUAACUCCGUGCCAGCAGCCGCGGUAAUACGGAGGGUGCAAGCGCUACUCGGAAUCAAUGGGCGUAAAGAGCGCGGAGGCGGGAUAGCAAGUCAGAUGUGAAAUCCUAUGGCUUAACCAUAGAACUGCAUUUGAAACUGUUAUUCUAGAGUAUGGGAGAGGUAGGUGGAAUUCUUGGUGUAGGGGUAAAAUGCGUAGAGAUCAAGAGGAAUACUCAUUGCGAAGGCGACCUGCUAGAACAAAACUGACGCUGAUGCGCGAAAGCGUGGGGAGCAAACAGGAUUAGAUACCCGUGUAGUC